UACGUAGGGCGCAAGCGUUGUCCGGAAUUAUUGGGCGUAAAGGGUGCGUAGGCGGCGCGGUAAGUCGGGUGUGAAAUCUCGGAGCUUAACUCCGAAACUGCAUUCGAUACUGCCGUGCUUGAGGACUGGAGAGGAGACUGGAAUUUACGGUGUAGCGGUGAAAUGCGUAGAUAUCGUAAGGAAGACCAGUGGCGAAGGCGGGUCUCUGGACAGUUCCUGACGCUGAGGCACGAAGGUCAGGGGAGCAAACGGG
rnacentral:rRNA from 1 species